AACGUAGGUACCGAGCGUUAUCCGGAUUUACUGGGCGUAAAGCGCGUUCAGGCGGUUUGGCAAGUCGGGCAUGAAAUCUCCCGGCUCAACCGGGAGAGGUUGUCCGAUACUUCCAGACUUGAGGUCAGUAGAGGGUGGUGGAAUUCCGGGUGUAGUGGUGAAAUGCGUAGAUAUCAGGAGGAACACCAAUAGCGAAGGCAGCUCGCUGGGACGUUACUGACACUGAGGCGCGAAAGCGUGGGGAGCGAACAGG
rnacentral:rRNA from 1 species